rnacentral:rRNA from 1 species
UACGAGAGCCUCGAGCGUUAUCCGGAAUUAUUGGGCGUAAAGGGUGCGUAGGUUGUUCUGUUAGUCUUUUGUCAAAGCCCCGGGCUUAACCUGGGAUAUGCAAAAGAAACGGCAGGACUUGAAAGUGCGAGAGGCGUACGGAACUCAUGGUGUAGGGGUGAAAUCCGUUGAUAUCAUGGGGAACACCAAAUGCGAAGGCAGUACGCUGGCGCAUAUUUGACACUGAAGCACGAAAGCGUGGGGAGCAAACAGG